rnacentral:rRNA from 1 species
GCAUCCUACGGGACGCAGCAGUGAGGAAUAUCGGUCAAUGGGAGAGAUCCUGAACCAGCCAAGCCGCGUGAGGGAAGACGGCCCUAUGGGUUGUAAACCUCUUUUGUCGGAGAACAAAACCCGGGACGUGCCCCGGACUGCGUGUAUCCGAAGAAAAAGCAUCGGCUAACUCCGUGCCAGCAGCCGCGGUAAUACGGAGGAUGCGAGCGUUAUCCGGAUUUAUUGGGUUUAAAGGGUGCGUAGGCGGUCCGUUAAGUCAGCGGUACAAUUGCGGGGCUCAAACCCGUCGAGC